CUUUGACAGCUAAGUAUUUUAUUUCCGAUAUAGCCGAUCACGUCCCCUGUCCGUGACAGUUUUUUUUUUGUUAGAGACGCUGAUCACGUACUGCGUACGUGUGUGAAUUUCAAUACUGUUUACUUUAAAACAACGGCCUGUAAGCGUGAUCCGCGUCAUGUCAAAGCUUAGAUGAAUGUUUUGGCUACACACACAAACGCACUUCAAAUACUUGCGGUGUGUGGGGUGCGGGAAACAAAGGAUCGCACGAGCCGGGUCGACACUCGACUCUCGCGCGCCAGUUGCCUAAGCGAUCGAGACGUGUGACAAUUUUUGGCGCGAAAUGACUUCGCGACGACGAUUUCGUCUGGAUUCGGAAAGAGAAACUAGAGAUAUUAUUGACAUUUUGCAAAAUGAUGAGGAUUCGGAUAUUGAGGAGAACACCACGAUAAUAGAAACUGAAGAGGCAAUAGACGAGUUUAGAGCCGGUCAAGAACAAUUAGAAGAUAGUGAUGAGGACAUACCCGAGCAGGAACAUACCAGAAGACAUACCAAGCACUGAUAAGGACAAGGGGGCGGUCAAGGAUUAGAAGAACAGGUCUAGUCUUACUGCCCAGAUUGCAACGUGCCCUUGUGUUAUGACCCGUGCUUCAAAAAAUACCACACCAGGAAAGACUACACGUCAUAAAAUUCGAAAAAUGUUGAUGUUAGAGUUUUUUUUUUUUUUGAAAACGUGCCUCAUUCUAAGUUGAUUUUAUAAUAAAAAAAAUACAAUUACACAUGUUUUUAUUAUUUUAUAUAAUAAUAUAAAAUAUCUUCAAUACAAUGAAAAAAAAAUCACGGCCGCAACUAUUAUAGUUUUUUUUCUAUGAAACUAACAAAAUGGUCAAAAAGUGCCGGCGCGCCCAGAAUGGUACGCUCAUUAUGUAUGCGGCUAAUUAGCAUAAAAUAAGCGCCACGUACGUCGGACGUGAUCCGCUGUCAAAGUGUUAAUUUUUUGGUUUUUGUCUUAUAAUGGUAUGUUGUAAUUAAGCUUAGUAGAUUGUCUGCUCUUUAUGAUUUUUAAUCUGUGGCGUAAAUAACACAAGUGAAAAUCAUAGAAAUAACACCAAAAAGCCCUAUUUCCACAAUUAAAUCCUACACAAAAUUUACAUUGUCACUUUUUAAUAAAUUGCACACAAAAUUUUAAAAUUCCGGUCCGAUGCAUAUUCUAUACGCGAUCUAAAUUUUGUUUUUACUUUCGAAUAUUGUUUAAAUUUUAAACUCGUAGAUUCGUAUCGGAUAGAAUAGAUUUUUUAUGCUGCGUUUACACAUUCGUGCGAAUAGCGAAGCGAAUAGUGAACGCAUGAAAACGUACUAUUCGCCUUGAGUUUCGCGUAUCACGUACACACAAAAUAAGAACUUAUUUACAAUAUUUUUGUUUAGAUUCCAAUUCAAUAAAAUUAUGUACCUUUAUUUUACAUGUUAAAAAAUAUGUAAAUUACAAUUUAUGAAGUUAAAAUUUGUUGCAACAUAAUAUCUUGCUGAAUAUUAAUGUUUGUUCAAUAUUUCGUGAAACCUUUCAUCGAAUGUUCGUCGAGUGUGUAAACGCGGCAUUACAUUUAGAAACGAAUAGAACCUGGCAAUACUGCACAUGACGUCAUUCAGUAUUUCUUCACUUUUAGCACGUCAGUAUUUCAAUAUAAUACAACAUUGGAACACGCUGUCCCGAGCGAAUUCAGUAUUUGCACACGAUGGACCAUCUUCACAUUGGGCAAUGUUGGCCCAACAAAUGGCCGAUGUUUGUCAUUACGGCAAUUAUGAAACAUCUACAAUGACCAAUCAUAGACACUUAGGUCUACACCAUCGUGAUUGCGUAUUCGCCCAACGCUGCCCAUUGUGAAAUGGCCCAUAAUAUAUUCGCUUACAUAGUUUUCGGUCAACAAGUCUUAGUAUUUAGAUUAGUUGUAUGGAAUUUUGGUUUUAUUGUUGUUUUUUUAACAAAUAAACAAUAAAAUCAAAAUGGCUCUAGGAUUUCAGCUUUGGAUUUCAUUCAAAACUGCGAUUGUAGACUUUAUUUGUAAGUUAUGUCGUCGUGUUUUUUCCCUCUCCGGGUUAGAGCAAACAAUCAAAAAAUAAAUAAAAAUACAAAAAAAAUUCAAAAUAAAAAAAUACAAAAAAAUGUUUGUAACAUACUUUUCAUUAUUUUUAUGUUAAGCAGAUUUUAGUAUUAGAUAUAAGUUUUGAUUAUUUCACAUUUGGUAUCUUUGUGUAUGAAUACAGGUUAUUUUAAUAUUCGCAUUGUAUUUUCUUUUCAAUAAAUAUAAUUUCCAAUAAUAAACCUUAUUCCUUUUAAUCUAUUAAUAAAUGUUUUAACCCA